AUACGGAGGAUGCGAGCGUUAUCCGGAUUUAUUGGGUUUAAAGGGUGCGUAGGCGGGCUGUUAAGCGUGAGGUGAAAGCUCGGGGCUCAACCCCGGAACUGCCUCGCGAACUGGCGGUCUUGAAUGUCCGUGCCGUGGGAGGAAUGUGUGGUGUAGCGGGGAAAUGCAUAGAGAUCACACAGGACACCGAUUGCGAAGGCAGCUCACGAACGGAUGAUUGACGCUGAGGCACGAAAGCGUGGGGAUCAAACAGGAUUAGAUACCCUGGUAGUCCACGCAGUAAACGAUGAUAACUAACCGCUGGUGCGCAAGUAUCAGUGGCCAAGCGAAAGCGAUAAGUUAUCCACCUGGGGAGUACGACCGCAAGGUUGAAACUCAAAUGAAUUGACGGGG
rnacentral:rRNA from 1 species